rnacentral:rRNA from 1 species
AGUGAACGCUGGCGGCAGGCCUAACACAUGCAAGUCGAGCGGCAGCGGGUUCCCGCGAGGGGAUGCCGGCGAGCGGCGGACGGGUGAGGAACACAUCGGAAUCUGCCUGGUUGUGGGGGAUAACGUAGGGAAACUUACGCUAAUACCGCAUGCGACCCUGAGUCGACGGACUUGGGGUGAAAGUGAGGGACCUUCGGCCUCACGCGACCAGAUGAGCCGAUGUCGGANAGUCUAGUUGGCGGGGUAACGGCCCGCCAAGGCGACGAUCCGUAGCUGGUCUGAGAGGAUGAUCAGCCACACUGGGACUGAGACACGGCCCA